CAACAACUUCUUCGAUCGGGCCGACCAUGUAGAAGGCGGCCUCGGGCAGGUGAUCGAGUUCACUGUUCAAGAUCAUUUUGAAUCCCUUGAUGGUUGAGAU